UACGAAGGGGGCUAGCGUUGCUCGGAAUUACUGGGCGUAAAGCGCACGUAGGCGGCUUUCUAAGUCGGGGGUGAAAUCCAGGAGCUCAACUCCAGAACUGCCUUCGAUACUGGAGAGCUUGAGUCCGGGAGAGGUGAGUGGAACUGCGAGUGUAGAGGUGAAAUUCGUAGAUAUUCGCAAGAACACCAGUGGCGAAGGCGGCUCACUGGCCCGGUACUGACGCUGAGGUGCGAAAGCGUGGGGAGCAAACAGG
rnacentral:rRNA from 1 species